UACGUAGGGUGCGAGCGUUAAUCGGAAUUACUGGGCGUAAAGCGUGCGCAGGCGGCGCGUUAAGACAGGUGUGAAAGCCCCGAGCUUAACUUGGGAAUUGCGCUUGUGACUGGCGUGCUGGAGUGUGGCAGAGGGAGGUGGAAUUCCACGUGUAGCAGUGAGAUGCGUAGAGAUGUGGAGGAACACCGAUGGCGAAGGCAGCCUCCUGGGCCAGCACUGACGCUCAUGCACGAAAGCGUGGGGAGCAAACAGG
rnacentral:rRNA from 1 species